GCCCUGCAGCGUGGCCGGUGUCAGCAGCAGCGCGGCCAGCAGGGCCAGGCAGUGCCCGUCCCCCUGUGCCGGGCCCUGGUGCGGCCGCCCCUCGAGCCCUGGGCUCAGCGUUGGGCCCCUCACCCCCAGGCAGACCCGGAGGGGCUGGAGCGUGUCCAGAGCCGGGCAGGGGCUGGGGAAGGGGCUGCGGCACAGCUCUGGGGGGGCGGGGGGAGCUGGGGGGGCUCAGCCCGGAGAAAAGGGGGCUCAGGGGGGCCCUUCUGGCUCCCUACAGCUGCCUGGCAGGAGGCUGCAGCGAGGGGGGUCGGUCUCUGCUCCCAAGGAACCAGCGGCAGGACAGGAGGGAACGGCCUCCAGCCGCACCAGGGGAGGUUCAGGGUGGGCACUGGGAGAAAUGUCUUCCCCGACAGGGUGGCCAAGCGCUGGCACAGGCUGCCCGGGGACGGGGUGCAGGCACCGUCCAUGGGGGGGUUCAAAAUACACAUAGGUGUGGUGCCGUUGCUCUGUAGUGGGCUCACUGCCUGGUGCACAACACCAAUUAAUGCACUGAAUCGAGGUAUUCCAGUUGCAAAGUAGGGAGCUAGGGGGUAACCCUCAAAUGCCUAGCCAGCCCCUUGAUUGCCAAAACCUUACACUGUUUCUACAUUGGUUGCAAGUUACACAACUCUCAUUACUUUGCCCUCAGUUUCCUAUUUCUUAAGCAAUUCCCUUGCUUCCUGUGUUAAUUAGUCUGCACACUCAAUCUCGGCUUCUUUUGUGGUCGGUGGGUUUCUGGAGUCAGCGGUCAAUGGGUUGGUGGUCCUGCUCUCCCCCUGCCAGAGUUACCUUUCCCCUAGUUUUGCUGAGCUCAUUGCUUGUGACAUCUUCCUAUCAACUUUUCUAUCUUGUGGAGGGCUUGCUUGGUGAAGUUUCUUUCUAAACAAAACCAUUUGCCAUACCAAAGGAAGUGCUUAGCAGGACAUACAACAUGCUUAUAACCUGAAUUAACCCUUAACUCAUUUGUUCUAAUUAAAGUCCAGCUAAUAGCAACACAUUCCAUUUUAUUAACAGUCUGAUAGCAGUGCUUAGAGGUAUGGUUUAGUGGUGGACUUUGUAGUCCUAGCUUUAUAGUUGGGCUUGAUCUUAAAGGUCUUUUCCAACCUAAAUGUUUCUGUGGUUCUAUGAAGCAUGGCUAGGUCACGUUGCAGUGUUGUCUUUAGUCGCACGUCAUAUUUUAACAAUCAGAACACUGAAAUGUGGAUAACAAUGCAGGCAUACAUGGAGAUUUGCAAGUCCAAUACAAGUAAUAAUGCAGUGCAGGUCUGUGCAUCUUCUCAAAUAUAUAGAAAUAUCCGUGUGCAAAUGUGGUAAUAAACUCAGAAGCUUCCCAAAUCUUUGCAAAAGUCAGCCUAAUGCCUUUCUGUUGUGCCAGUGCCUCUGCAAAGUGGUUACAUGGUGGUUCCCAGCUAACACUUCUGUAGGUUUAGGCUUUUUUAUUUUUAACAAUUAAAUGUGUUAUUCUCAGGUACAUUACUAUUUUCCUGGCAAGGGCUGUGUAUCAUCACACUGACUCUGGUUUCCCCUGCCAAGAGGAUGUUGCUCGAACCGAGAUCACAGGGCUGGGCCUCACCAUGAGCCCAUGUUUGCAGAAUCACAGAAGGGUUUGGGCUGGGAGGGACCUCACAGACCACCCGGUCCCACCCCCUGCCAGGGGCAGGGCCCCCUCCCCCCAGCCCAGGCUGCUCCCAGCCCCGUCCAGCCUGGCCUUGAGCCCUGCCCGGGAUGGGGCACCCACAGCUGCUCUGGGCAGCCUGGGCCAGCGCCUCGCCGCCCUCACGGGGAAGGGUUUCUUCCUCAUGUCCAACCUAAAUCUCCCCUCUCUCAGCUUCAAGCCAUUCCCCCCUGUCCCACCACUCCCUGCCCUUGCCCAAAGCCCCUCCCCAGCUUUCCUGUCGGCCCCUCCAGGCACUGGGAGCUGCUCUAAGGUCUCCCCGCAGCCUUCUCCUCCCCAGGCUGCACAGCCCCAGCUCUCCCAGCCUGUCCCCACAGCAGAGGGGCUCCAGCCCUCUGACCAGCUCCGUGGCCUCCGACGGGCCCGCUCCGACAGGUCUGUGUCCUGUGCAGAAGGUGAUCGCUCUUCCAGCGAUAUGUUCCUCCCCAUUUCUCUCCAGUGUAGGCUCAGACCAGGUGCUGAAGGAUUGGUGCAGCUAACUUGCUUCCAGUUGUGGGCUCACUGCCUGUAACAGUGACGCUUCAGGAUCAGUGGUGAUAAUUGGGUGUUUAUUGUAGAUUAUUGUGCUUUUGCUGUCUUCUGGCUGGGUUUUAGCUGGCAUGCACAGUGUUGUGUGCCAAGCUGUGUCUAUUUUCCCUAACACUGCAAGGUGGCAGCCUACAGCUUCUGAGGUGGCUCUGGAGUAAUCAGAAAAAUCACUUUUUAGAGAAAUAUAUCUGAAUGGGAAUGUUUUAGUCUGUGCAGUGUCUCUUAUGUUAUUUGACAUUCUGUAUUAUUUAUUUUUUACCUCACUUUUGCAGCGUUCUGUCAGUGUCAGUCCUGCAGAAGUUGUCAGAGAAGAAUGGAGAUGUUUGGGUGGUUUUGCAGGGCAGUUUCCUGGGCUCCUGCAGUGCUCGGGGACGUGGUAGGACAUUCUGGGUGGCAUGAUGGGUUCAGACUUGGGCUGUGCUGUCUGAACGCUCUGCUCAGGACUAAUUCAGGGCUGUCAGUACAGAAGUGAGCAAGAAAGGACCGAGGACAAAAGGAGGUACAGAGGCAGAAGUGCUGUGAAAACGAUGGAAAGCCAGACCUGUUCCUUGAGCCAAGAGGAUGCGUGCUGCUCUGGAAGCAGGAACCGGAGCUGGUCGAUGUGAGAAGCACUUGCUACCGGUGGUUACUUUCCUGACAUCCUCCACUUUGUCACUUCAAGAUUAGAAUUGUUCAGAGAAAGGAUGGCAAGAAUUCUCACAUACAGAGGAAGAGAAGCCUGUGAGGGAUGUUGCAGUGAGCCAGGAGGUAAAGCCGGGACAGCACCAGCUGCAGUGUACUAAGGGAGCAACAUGGGGCUGAGUGGUGGAAAAGAGAAAAAGCCCUGCAGUACUACAGAUAACACAGAGUGUUUUUGAAGUACCAAGGCCUGAAUUAAGAUAACUGAAAUGACCAUUUAAGUUGGACAACCCCCCCCCCCACAUUUUAAGGCUUUUUCAAAAUCUCUCCAGAAAAUAAAUAUUUUAAUUUCAAAAUUUUGAAGAGGAAAGAGUAAAAAAUGGGCACAUUUGUUACAGUUACAAUAAUAGGAAUGGGCUAAGCUGUUUCAUUAUGCCGCAGCAUGUGACUUUGCCAUAUAUAUAUAUAUAUAUAUAAAGAAAAUACAGAAAUACAUUUGUUUGAGGUAGGGUGGGUGUUGUUUUUCAGCAGGUUCUGUGCAUGCAGAGAGCUUGACAAAGUGAAGGA